rnacentral:rRNA from 1 species
UACGUAGGGGGCGAGCGUUGUCCGGAUUUACUGGGCGUAAAGAGCGCGCAGGCGGUCGUGCAAGUCGCGUGUGAAAGCCCCCGGCUCAACUGGGGAGGGUCACGCGAUACUGUUCGACUCGAAGGCAGGAGAGGGAAGUGGAAUUCCCGGUGUAGUGGUGAAAUGCGUAGAUAUCGGGAGGAACACCAGUGGCGAAGGCGACUUCCUGGCCUGUUCUUGACGCUGAGGCGCGAAAGCUAGGGUAGCAAACGGG